rnacentral:rRNA from 1 species
CCUACGGGGUGCAGCAGUGGGGGAUAUUGGACAAUGGGGGAAACCCUGAUCCAGCGACGCCGCGUGAGUGAAGAAGUAUUUCGGUAUGUAAAGCUCUAUCAGCAGGGAAGAAAGAAAUGACGGUACCUGAGUAAGAAGCCCCGGCUAACUACGUGCCAGCAGCCGCGGUAAUACGUAGGGGGCAAGCGUUAUCCGGAAUUACUGGGUGUAAAGGGAGCGUAGACGGUAAUGCAAGUCUGGAGUGAAAGGCGGGGGCACAACCCCCGGACUGCUCUGGAAACUGUGUAACUGGAGUGCAGUAGAGGCAGGCGGAAUUCCUAGUGUAGCGGUGAAAUGCGUAGAUAUUAGGAGGAACACCAGUGGCGAUGGCGGCCUGCUGGACUGUAACUGACGUUGAGGCUCGAAAGCGUGGGGAGCAAACAGGAUUAGAUACCCGAGUAGUC